AUGCAUGAUUCGGAGGUCGCGCUUGGUAGCAGUACUAGUACUGAUAAUCCAUAUUUACUGGUUGAGGCUUCUUCAACUGUACAACCAACACCACCUAUCAUAGAAGUUGACUGGGAUAACUUACAAAUAGUAGAGACACAUGAUGAUGAAGGUAGAGUUGAACUAGUGAGUGAGGAUCAACUAUGUGAGAUUUUGGGCUUGAAGGAUGACGAGGAAGAGAAAAAGAGUAAGACUGAACCAAAGCGUCAUAGAAUGGUUGAGCAGGGGACCGAUAAUGAAGGUGCUGCCAUUCCUGUUAGUGAUGCAAUACCAAAUGAAGUAGUGAUUACAUAUGAUAAGGACCAGCCAAAAAUGGACCUUGGCACUAUGUAUCCAUCAAUGAAGGAAUUCAGGUUAGCUGUAAGACAAUUUGCCAUCAAUGAAGAGUUUGAUCUAGGCACGGAGAAGUCAGAUAAGAAGAGAUUUAGAGGGUUCUGCAAGUCAAGUGAAGAUUGCCCUUGGAGAAUUGUUGGCAGCCUACAGGAUGACAAAUGUACUAUAAAGGUGAAAUAUGGAUAA
rnacentral:rRNA from 1 species